AGAACAGUUAUUUGUAGGCUGUGGGUCCUGGAGCAAAGCACCCUCUUUCCUCCUGUGUCCUCCACAGAGCUUCAUUCAGGUGAGAUGGGUUCCUGGCACAUUCCUGUGGAUCCCUUGGGACUGAGCUCAGGUAUUUCCUGUAGGAAGCCUUUGUUAAAACCCAUCCAUGGCAGACCCAGUGAGACACCCUCUUCUCGCCUUGCCUUGGUACUUUGUCCGUUCUGGAUGGCUGCUGUGUUGCACUGUGACCUGUUCAGUCUGUCUCCUUCAGUGAAUCUCCAGGACAUGGAAGCUUGUAUCUUUCUGCUUCCAGUGCUGGGCACAACGCACAUAGUAGGUGCUUAGUAAAUGUGUGGUGAAUGGAUUCACCAAAUCCUUAAAGCGAACACCAGAAUAUUGAGGAAGAAAGAGAAUGGGAAGGACCCAUGCAGCCUUGGAGUGGGAGUGCCGGUGGGAGGACUGGCAGUUCUCAGGGUCUGCGCUCCUGUCUUCCGUCUUCACCUCCCCUCCGUUCCUCCUCUUCCAGCCUCAGCCGUCACUUCUGCAGUGAGAUUGUCCUUGCCAAGCACAGCAGUGGCCUUCUUGUCAAGUAUAGCAGAAACCUUUACCCUUCACCUGACUGGAUUCCUGGACUGCAUUUGGGCAGCCCAAUGGAUCCAAUGGUGAUGAAGAGACCUCAGUUGUAUGGCAUGGGCAGUAACCCUCAUUCUCAGCCUCAGCAGAGCAGUCCGUACCCAGGAGGUUCCUACGGCCCCCCAGGCCCACAGCGAUAUCCAAUUGGCAUCCAGGGUCGGACUCCCGGGGCCAUGGGCGGAAUGCAGUACCCUCAGCAGCAGAUGCCUCCUCAGUAUGGACAGCAAGGUGUGAGUGGUUACUGCCAACAGGGCCAACAGCCAUAUUACAGCCAGCAGCCGCAGCCCCCGCACCUCCCGCCCCAGGCGCAGUAUCUGCCGUCCCAGUCCCAGCAGAGGUACCAGCCGCAGCAGGACAUGUCUCAGGAAGGCUAUGGAACUAGAUCUCAACCUCCUCUGGCCCCCGGAAAACCUAACCAUGAAGACUUGAACUUAAUACAACAAGAAAGACCAUCAAGUUUACCAGUUGAAGUCUUGGCCUCGGAGGAUACAGCCUUUGGACUCAAGGAUCUGUCUGGCUCCAUUGAUGACCUCCCCACGGGAACGGAAGCAACUUUGAGCUCAGCAGUCAGUGCAUCCGGGUCCACGAGCAGCCAAGGGGAUCAGAGCAACCCGGCGCAGUCGCCUUUCUCCCCACAUGCGUCGCCUCAUCUCUCCAGCAUCCCGGGGGGCCCAUCUCCCUCUCCUGUUGGCUCUCCUGUAGGAAGCAACCAGUCUCGAUCUGGCCCAAUCUCUCCUGCAAGUAUCCCAGGUGCAAAAUGACUCCAAGGGAGUGAGCAUCCGCGUGUGGCACUUUUCAUAGCCAACCACCGUGUUUACAGGCAGAAUUGUCACGAAGCACUGGAACCCAGAAUGAGAAAUUUGUGACAAGAGAGGGUGGAGGCGAGUGAAACUUUGAUUAAAGGAAAGUGCCUUGACUUUCAAAAGGCCUGUCUCUAUCCGGCAGCACAGAGCAGCGAUCAAGUGGAAGAAAGGGAGCAGGCAGGCGCCUCAGCUAAUCUUUCUCCUGGGGGCCCAGGUGGACAAAUUGGCAACCCUGUUCACGGCUUUUUUUCCUUCUCCCCUUUGUGUCAUAAGAACUGCUAAUCGGAUCCAUGCUGCUGCAACUGUGGUUAGUUAUUAGCAGAAUAAAAGCAGAUUUCUUCAAAAGAACGGGUGGGGGAAACGACUAUACAAAAUUGCAAGGUUGUUAGAAUCUUAAAUGCACAGCAGUCGAUUUUUCCCCUUAUUCUGAAUUAGACGAUGAAUACAAGUCUUUCAUCUGUCACGAUACCCAUUUCUUCAGAAGGCAGCCAAAUAUUAAGCUUCUCAAACAAAAAAGGAAUCUUAGAAAGAGGAAAAAUAUUGAGGAGGAAUAAAAAUGGGUGAGAGAAGGGAAAAUUAGGUUUUGUUUUUAUUAAUUUGCCCUGGUGAGAGAAAUAUAAACCGCCCGCUCUAUUUGGCGGCCCCCGCCCCCCGCCUCUUACCUUACAUCAAAGCGAGAAUUCGAGAGAAUGGAGCUGGUGGCUGUUCAGCAUUUUAUGUCUGGUGUUCUGCCUGAGGAAAGUUCAGAACCUACCUCUUUCCUUACAGAUAGCAGAGUGUUGUGAAUCCGGACUUCCUGGGGAAGGCCGGGCUAACAAUGCCAUACCCAAAUGUGCAGAAUAGACCUUUCCCUCACAAGUGGGUUUUCACAUGGCCCGGUAGACCUGGGAAUUGUAUGCCUGAGCUUUAAAGCUAUUACAAAGGGUGUGUUUUGAUGAGAAUGCCAGCUUUUCAGCGUGGUAGUUGAUGUACUUCAGGACAUCACGGACUUUCACAGGGGGUGCCUCCCAGAUCCUCAAGAUUCCCAAAGUUAGACGUGGUUCCUGCUUUCAUCCAAAUCACAUUUUUGAUCAUAUUGCCUAUUUACUAUUCAUGUCUUCACACCUGAAGUUAACUAAAGUGGAGAAGCUUUCCUUAAAGUUCCAUCUUUUAUUUAAUGGCUGUUUUAUCCACAAAGACACAGUUUUCAUUCACCUCCCCAGAGUCGGUCCUGAGUGGAGCAGCAAGCACGGUGGAACCCAGGUUGAGCUGCGCCAGCCGCCGCCCUGAGAGUCACGCCUCCGUCAAACCCAAAGCACACAAUAUUCCCACACCUUUCAGGUCACUUAGCAGUCAUCCAGACUAAAAAUGUCUCAUUUUAAUGCGGAGAAUCCCCUAUAUGUAAAUGUUUUAUGAUUCCAGUUUAUUUAUUUAUUUUUUUAUUUUUUAUUUUCUUUUGAGAUGAAGUCUCACUCUGUGACCCAGGCUGGGGCGUGGUGGCGUGACCUCGGGUCGCUGCAACUUCCACCUCUCAGGUUUGAGCGAUUCUCCUGCCUCAGCCUCCCAAGUAGCAGGGAUUACAGGUGGCCACCACCAGGUAUUUUUGUAGAGACAGGGUUUUACUAUGUUGGCCAGGCUAGUCUCGAACUCCAGACCUCAAGCAGUCUGCCUGCCUCGGCCUCCUAAAGUGCUGGGAUUACAAGUGUGAGCCAUUGCACUGGGCCAACUCCAGUUUAUCUUCAAUCAAAGCUGUGCUGACUUAAAUAGUCAAGUCUAGAAGUCCGUGCAUCACUGUGUAUCCUCUGACUUAACUUGUCCUUUGCCUUGCCAGAGACUUUCCGGUUUCUCUGCCCCAAGUCCUCUCUGGGAAGAUAUCUCCCCAAAAGGGAUCGCAUGGGUAUCAGUGAUCAGACUCUUAAACCAACUUCCAAAGGUCUGUCUUACCCUUGCAACGGUCAGAGUUUAUGAAGAGAACCCAUGUGGAAAAGCAUUAUGUAGUUUUAAUAUGUUUAAUUAAUAAAAGUUCCAGUUUGAAAUCUAUUAUAGUAGGCUGGGUGAAUAACGUUUUAUAAGUUGGUCUUUAAGGGCUUUUAUGAGGGCAUCAUUCACAUAGACCGCAUCAUAUUCACUUCUGUUUUCUACCUGUUUGCUGAUCGUCCUUUGUAGCUAAUUUAUCUUCAGGCCUCGCAGUGAGGUUUAGAAAAAGACUUGGAACCCUCAGACCACAGUAGGGAGAAGAGUUGAAAAGCUUGAUCCAGCAGGUUUUUGGCAGUGUAUUAGUUUGUUUAGAAUGAAGGUAUGUGGCCCUGUGAACGGUGUGUGGGAGCUGCCUUGUUCUGUGAAGUUCAGGAAUUGGAAGUAUCCUCAUUCCCUUCAUGGCUCAGGAGUAUCCAAGUCAGAUAGCCUCUGAAGUGCCCAUUUAUCUGUGCUUUUAGGACCGAAUGACACAUCAAUAGUGUGUAACAUUUUGCAUAAGGAUUUAGGAAAGUCUAGCCCUAUUUUGAAUGAACUUCUGAGCCGUAUGACAUGAAAAGGUUUAUCUCCCAAAGCAGAGGCUUAACUCCUUAAAGGUGAGGACACCAAGCUACUGUGGUUCUGUGUUCUCAGUUGAAAGGUAGGGAAGAACAUUACUUUCUGGUUUAUACUGCGCUCAUCUGAGAUAGGAUUUAUUCACAAUAAAGAAUUGUGUCGACAGCCUGUUCACAAACAUCUUGCCCACCACUCUGCCCUAAUACAGGACCUUUUGGUAAGGGCGAGAUGAUCUUAUUAGAGACAGAGGCACACACACCCCAUGCUGAACAAUAGGAAAUGUUGUAAGUUCACACCCACUCUCUUCAGAUAAACUGUUAACCAGAACCACUAAGCGGGAGCUUGAGCAGAUUCUGUGUAUCGGUAGUUUGCUUGGAGCAUAUCGAAGUUGGUGUCAGCCAGCCUGCUUCUUCAUUCUGAGAAUAAGUGGGAUUUUUUUCCGUUCUUGAAGCAAGUGAAAUAGAAAACACUGAACAGAAGGUUGCUAUGUCUAAAUAACUUGUGGAUUUUCUAACUCAUCUAAAUAAAUGCCAAGACUAGGAAAACGUAUUUUUCAUUUACACCAUUAGGUUAAUACCUAAUAUACCUGCAGGUUUUUAAAGAAAUGACCCAGGAAAUCCUUGUGCUGUAUCGCAGAGCUGUACCAUCU
rnacentral:lncRNA from 1 species